rnacentral:rRNA from 1 species
UACAGAGGGGGCAAGCGUUGUUCGGAAUUACUGGGCGUAAAGGGCGCGUAGGCGGCCUUCUAAGUCGAACGUGAAAUCCCCGGGCUCAACCCGGGAACUGCGUCCGAUACUGGAAGGCUUGAAUACGGGAGAGGGAUGCGGAAUUCCAGGUGUAGCGGUGAAAUGCGUAGAUAUCUGGAGGAACACCGGUGGCGAAGGCGGCAUCCUGGACCGGCAUUGACGCUGAGGCGCGAAAGCUAGGGGAGCAAACGGG